AGAGGGGGGCGGCUAUACAUGCAGUAGACGCUGAGGUUUGGUGUUUACACUAGACUGAUGAGUUGCGAACGGGUGAGUAACGCGUAGGUAACCUGCCUCAUAGCGGGGAUAACUAUUGGAAACGAUAGCUAAUACCGCAUAAGAGUAAUUAACACAUGUUAGUUAUUUAAAAGGAGCAAUUGCUUCACUGUGAGAUGGACCUGCGUUGUAUUAGCUAGUUGGUGAGGUAAAGGCUCACCAAGGCGACGAUACAUAGCCGACCUGAGAGGGUGAUCGGCCACACUGGGACUGAAACACGGCCCAGACUCCUACGGGAGGCAGCAGUAGGGAAUCUUCGGCAAUGGACGGAAGUCUGACCGAGCAACGCCGCGUGAGUGAAGAAGGUUUUCGGAUCGUAAAGCUCUGUUGUUAGAGAAGAACGUUGGUAGGAGUGGAAAAUCUACCACGUGACGGUAACUAACCAGAAAGGGACGGCUAACUACGUGCCAGCAGCCGCGGUAAUACGUAGGUCCCGAGCGUUGUCCGGAUUUAUUGGGCGUAAAGCGAGCGCAGGCGGUUCUUUAAGUCUGAAGUUAAAGGCAGUGGCUUAACCAUUGUACGCUUUGGAAACUGGAGGACUUGAGUGCAGAAGGAGAGAGUGGAAUUCCAUGUGUAGCGGUGAAAUGCGUAGAUAUAUGGAGGAACACCGGUGGCGAAAGCGGCUCUUCUGGUCUGUAACUGACGCUGAUGCUCGAAAGCGUGGGGAGCAAACAGGAUUAGAUACCCUGGUAGUCCACGCCGUAACGAUGAGUGCUAGUGUUAGCCGUUUCGGCGCUUAGUGCUGCAGCUACGCAUUAGCACUCGCCUGGGGAGUACGACGCAGUUGAAACUCAGAAUUUUUUGGCGG
rnacentral:rRNA from 1 species